UACGGAGGGUGCAAGCGUUGUCCGGAUUUAUUGGGUUUAAAGGGUGCGUAGGCGGCCCUGUAAGUCAGUGGUGAAAUACUGCAGCUUAACUGUAGCAUUGCCAUUGAUACUGUAGGGCUUGAGUACAGAUGAGGUAGGCGGAAUUGAUGGUGUAGCGGUGAAAUGCAUAGAUACAUCAAGAACACCGAUUGCGAAGGCAGCUUACUAAGCUGUAACUGACGCUGAGGCACGAAAGCGUGGGGAUCGAACAGG
rnacentral:rRNA from 1 species